rnacentral:rRNA from 1 species
UACGUAGGGCGCAAGCGUUAUCCGGAAUUAUUGGCGUAAAGAGCUCGUAGGCGGUUGUCGCGUCUGCCGUGAAAGUCCGGGCUCAACUCCGGAUCUGCGGUGGGUACGGGCAGACUAGAGUGAUGUAGGGGAGACUGGAAUUCCUGGUGUAGCGGUGAAAUGCGCAGAUAUCAGGAGGACACCGAUGGCGAAGGCAGGUCUCUGGGCAUAACUGACGCUGAGGAGCGAAAGCAUGGGAGCGAACAGG